rnacentral:rRNA from 1 species
AUUGAACGCUGGCGGCAUGCUUUACACAUGCAAGUCGAACGGUAACAGGCCUUCGGGCGCUGACGAGUGGCGAACGGGUGAGUAACGCAUCGGAACGUGCCCAGUCGUGGGGGAUAACGCAGCGAAAGCUGUGCUAAUACCGCAUACGAUCUGCGGAUGAAAGCGGGGGACCUUCGGGCCUCGCGCGAUUGGAGCGGCCGAUGUCAGAUUAGGUAGUUGGUGGGGUAAAGGCCCACCAAGCCAACGAUCUGUAGCUGGUCUGAGAGGACGACCAGCCACACUGGGACUGAGACACGGCCCCAGACUCCUACGGGAGGCAGCAGUGGGGGAAUUUUGGACAAUGGGCGCAAGCCUGAUCCAGCAAUGCCGCGUGCAGGAAGAAGGCCU